GCAACACUGCUUUAGGAAGAGGUGGGAACCAAAGCAGAGGAGAGACUGCAUCUGCACCAAGGCUCCAAAACAUAGACCUGUCUGACCCAGUUUGAAACUAGCAUGGGCUCCUUCAGUUUGGAGGUUAUCCAGAAAACAUCAAAGAAUAACACACACCCUGUGAAACAACCACAAGAAUGGAUGAUGUGGUUCAUUGGGUAUGAUGCACCCAAGGACCUCACUCCUGUGAUGGAUGCCAUUCCUGCCUCAGAAAACUAUGUGAUCAGUUUGUCAAGGCAACUGUGGUCAUACUAUAACCACUUCAGACAGAAGAUUCAGGAUCUGAAAGAUGAUAAGUUUCUGCAAGUUUCAUGAAAACUAGUGACUUUGCUGAAGCAAGAGGUUGUGACUUGUCCUCAGUGCAAAAAUUGCCAGGAGGCACAGCUGAGUUCUCUAACUGAAGAUGAAUGGAAAAGAGUAACUGCAUGUUUAAAUACAAAUUUUCAAGUUUCUUUUCUACUAUAAUUUGAUUGCUCUUCAUGAACCUGAAACUAAGGUAAGUUUGGAAUGCCUGAAAUCCAAAGAAACUUUUGUAUUACAAAAAUAGGAUACAAUAAGUGUAUAAAUUAUUUCUUCUAAGAAAAAAAAAAUCUGAAGUAUUCUUUAGCAGAAAGAUUCUCAUACAUUAUUAAUAUAUAA